UACGUAGGGUGCGAGCGUUAAUCGGAAUUACUGGGCGUAAAGGGUGCGCAGGCGGUUCUGCAAGUCAGGCGUGAAAUCCCCGGGCUUAACCUGGGAAUGGCGCUUGAAACUACGGGACUGGAGUAUGGCAGAGGGAGGUGGAAUUCCACGUGUAGCGGUGAAAUGCGUAGAGAUGUGGAGGAACACCGAUGGCGAAGGCGGAUCUCUGGGCCUUACCUGACGCUGAGGCGCGAAAGCUAGGGGAGCGAACAGG
rnacentral:rRNA from 1 species